UAGUGUUAGCUGAAACUUGAUAUGCCA
rnacentral:piRNA from 1 species